CACUAUCAGCUAACUUUAGGUCACCUAUUUUUCCCUAAUUCUUUUAUUUGAAUAUAUAAAAUUAAAAUCUUUACCUUUUCUCUCUUUCUUCCCUUAAAAUCCCCCGUCUUCAUCGUUCUCUCUCCUACUUCUACCACCGUAAACCUCUGAUUCUCAAUCGGAUUGGGAUUUUUGAACGGAUUCCCAUGUUUACAACUGGCAAUGGUGGCAACGAAGACUGGAUUUCAAUGGCAUCAUUAAGUGUCUUCUGUGUAGAUCUAUUGUCUCAAACUUCAAGGCAGAAAAGCAGCUGCCUUUUUCUCCUUCAAUUUGCAUUAUUGUGCGUCACUAUGUGGUUCAGGAAGAUACUUCAACCAUUUUUGAAGCUGCGGAUACGGAUCAUUCUGGAACCUUAUCUAUUGAAGAAUUCCAAGAUGUUCUGGUAGAGCAACCAUUUGUUUGAAGUAACAAAGCUAUUCAAGGAUUCAGAGGGACAUGAAAGGGUUUAAGUUAGCCCUUUGUCAUGUAAAUUCCCAAAUGAAGAGUCUACUUGCUACUAAGCAGUUGGAGGCCAGGUUAUGCUUGAAGAACAUACAAGAAGAAUCUUACAUCGAUUCUUUUAAGCAACACGGAUGCUAUAUGGGGUAAAAGGAACGGGAGAUGAUUCGAAGAGAAAAAGAGAUGCUUUAUGCUUUCAAAUAUAAAUGUAUUUAGAAUUUAUAUUGUUGUAUGAAACGAAAUUUUGUUCUGAAUAUGAAAGACUUGCUGGACUUGUUAGAAUCUAAGUAUGUAAUGUAAUACAAGUCAAGAUCUUUGUACUUGUUGUGAUACCAUCUUGGUACUGUUUAUCAAUAAAAACUUAUUUGAUAAGUGAUUUCACAUA